UAUUACUCUAUCAACAUUUUUACAAUCUGUGUAAAAUCGUUCCGGGUACUUUGUGUUUUUCUAUUUUUUUUUCAGGAUUUUAACGCUGCAAACACAGAGUCGGAUGGACGCUUUAAGCUAAUCCAUCACGUAUUUCCCAUGUAUUUUCACUAUGAUUGAAAAUAGUAAAAUAAUGGGCUAAACCUCCACUAACAUUUGAACCGGUGAACGCAAUAAGUCCUGAUAACGAAUUUUCUACUACAUCAUCUCUGUAACAGUCUUCUGUGUCUAUUAUUAAAUAGGAAUUAAUGUUAUACGUCAAACUUGCAUAGUUAGAACAAUUUUGGUAAUACACGUUUGUAUUCUGUAAAGAAUUUGUUAUUUCUUUUUCCAAACAAGAGAUACCAUUUGUUAUGAUUGAUAACAAAUUAGGUACUAUUACAGGUACAGUUUUUGAUGAUCUAUAUUGACAAAGAUGACAAUAUAUCUCUUGGGUGUUAUUACAAGAAGAUUCCGUAAGGAUUGAAAACAAAUUAUUUACAUUGUAGUUACAAUUUAAUUUCUUGGGCAAUUCUUUUAAUGUUUUAACUUGCAACAUAACA